ACCUGGCUGGCUCAGCCAGAAGAGCAUGGGACUCUUGAUCUUGGGGUUAUGAGUUUGAGCCCCAUGUUGGGUC
rfam:Felis catus isolate Cinnamon breed Abyssinian chromosome X, whole genome shotgun sequence.